rnacentral:snRNA from 1 species
GUGCUCGCCUCGGCAGCACAUAGACUAAAAUUGGAACGAUACAGAGAAGAUGAGCAUGGCCCCUGCGCAAGGAUGACACGCAAAUUCCUGAAGCGUUCCAUAUUAAA